UUAAUCGAGAGUUUGAUCCUGGCUCAGGACGAACGCUGGCGGCGUGCCUAAUACAUGCAAGUCGAACGCACUCUCNUUUAGAUUGAAGGAGCUUGCUCCUCAUUGAUAAACAUUUGAGUGAGUGGCGGACGGGUGAGUAACACGUGGGUAACCUGCCCUAAAGUGGGGGAUAACAUUUGGAAACAGAUGCUAAUACCGCAUAAAACCUAACACCGCAUGGUGUAGGGUUGAAAGAUGGUUUCGGCUAUCACUUUAGGAUGGACCCGCGGUGCAUUAGUUAGUUGGUGAGGUAAAGGCUCACCAAGACCGUGAUGCAUAGCCGACCUGAGAGGGUAAUCGGCCACACUGGGACUGAGACACGGCCNNGGCUCCUACGGGAGGCAGCAGUAGGGAAUCUUCCACAAUGGACGAAAGUCUGAUGGAGCAACGCCGCGUGAGUGAAGAAGGUUUUCGGAUCGUAAAACUCUGUUGUUGGAGAAGAAUGUAUCUGAUAGUAACUGAUCAGGUAGUGACGGUAUCCAACCAGAAAGCCACGGCUAACUACGUGCCAGCAGCCNCNGUAAUACGUAGGUGGCNAGCGUUGUCCGGAUUUAUUGGGCGUAAAGCGAGCGCAGGCGGUUUCUUAAGUCUGAUGUGAAAGCNUUCGGCUCAACCGAAGAAGUGCAUCGGAAACUGGGAAACUUGAGUGCAGAAGAGGACAGUGGAACUCCAUGUGUAGCGGUGAAAUGCGUAGAUAUAUGGAAGAACACCAGUGGCGAAGGCGGCNNUCUGGUCUGUAACUGACGCUGAGGCUCGAAAGCAUGGGUAGCAAACAGGAUUAGAUACCCUGGUAGUCCAUGCCGUAAACGAUGAGUGCUAGGUGUUGGAGGGUUUCCGCCCUUCAGUGCCGCAGCUAACGCAUUAAGCACUCCGCCUGGGGAGUACGACCGCAAGGUUGAAACUCAAAGGAAUUGACGGGGGCCNGCACAAGCGGUGGAGCAUGUGGUUUAAUUCGAAGNAACGCGAAGAACCUUACCAGGUCUUGACAUCCUUUGACCACUCUAGAGAUAGAGCUUUCCCUUCGGGGACAAAGUGAC
rnacentral:rRNA from 3 species